rnacentral:antisense_RNA from 1 species
CUUGAGCGAACCGAGCCACAGCGGGUGGUCCGCCGUCCGGUCACGGCCGUACGUCGCCAGCAGGGCCUGUGCCUC